CAAGGCCACCAUGAACAUCACCAAGGCCACCGAGCGCGACGCCAAGCCCCCCGCCCUCUACGUCUUCCCCCCUCCCCCGGAGCAGCUCAGCGCCCACGAGACCGCCACCGUCACCUGCUUGGCCAAGGGCUUCAACCCCCCGGACCUCUUCAUCCGCUGGCUGCGCAACGGCGAGCCCUUGCCGGCCUCCGACUACGUCACCAUGCCGCCCGCCGCCGAAUCGCAGCCGGCGCGCUCCUACUUCACCUACAGCGCCCUCAGCGUGGCCACCGACGACUGGGGGGCCGGCAACGUCUUCACCUGCUUGGUGGGCCACGAGCGGCUGCCCUUGCAGGUGGCCCAGAAGUCAGUGGACAAGUCCUCGGGUAAACCCACCUCGGUCAACGUCUCCCUGGUGCUCUCCGACACCGCCAGCUCCUGUUAUUAAUUAAAAAAAAAUCGUCGUGUCCCCCCCCCCCCAACUCAUCCCUCCGUCGGUUUCGCCUCAUCGUGUCCGAGACGCCCC